rnacentral:miRNA from 1 species
GUACCACACAUUCCAGCCAAUCAGCAGCAGACCCUCCCUCCCAGACCCUCCCACCUCCUGGACAGCUCACGAAGAAUGCAGCUUCACAAUGAAUGUAAAAUGGAUGCUGUCCAGGAGCUGGGAGGGUCUGGGAGGGAGGGUCUGCUGCUGAUUGGCUGGAAUGUGUCUG